GAUGAAGAACGCAGUGAAAUGCGAUACUUGGUGUGAAUUGCAGAAUCCCGUGAACCAUCGAGUCUUUGAACGCGAGUUGCGCCCGAAGCCACUAGGCCGAGGGCACGCCUGCCUGGGCGUCACACGCCGUUGCCCCCCCAUCUACUCCUUCGGGAUUGCGGGGGGGCGGAUGAUGGCCUCCCGUGCGCCUAGCCGCGCGGUUGGCAUAAAUACCAAGUCCUCGGCGACGCACGCCACGACAAUCGGUGGUUGCGAAACCUCGGUUGCCCGUCGUGUGCGUUCGUCGCGCAUCGAGGGCUCGAAAAAAUGCUCGGCUCCGGCUGGGCUUUCAACGCGACCCCAGGUCAGGCGGGGUUACCCGCUGAAUUUAAGCAUAUCAAUAAGCGGAGGA
rnacentral:misc_RNA from 1 species